rnacentral:rRNA from 1 species
UACGAAGGGGGCUAGCGUUGUUCGGAAUUACUGGGCGUAAAGCGCACGUAGGCGGGCGAUUAAGUCAGGGGUGAAAUCCCGGAGCUCAACUCCGGAACUGCCUUUGAUACUGGUCGUCUAGAGAUCGGAAGAGGUGAGUGGAAUUCCCAGUGUAGAGGUGAAAUUCGUAGAUAUUGGGAAGAACACCGGUGGCGAAGGCGGCUCACUGGUCCGAUACUGACGCUGAGGUGCGAAAGCGUGGGGAGCAAACAGG